AGUGCCUACGGGACGCAGCAGUGGGGAAUAUUGCACAAUGGGGGGAACCCUGAUGCAGCGACGCCGCGUGGGUGAGGAAGUACUUCGGUAUGUAAAGCCCUAUCAGCAGGGAAGAAAAUGACGGUACCUGACUAAGAAGCCCCGGCUAACUACGUGCCAGCAGCCGCGGUAAUACGUAGGGGGCAAGCGUUAUCCGGAUUUACUGGGUGUAAAGGGAGCGUAGACGGCGUGCCAAGUCUGAUGUGAAAGGCCGGGGCUCAACCCCGGGACUGCAUUGGAAACUGUACUUCUUGAGUGCUGGAGAG
rnacentral:rRNA from 1 species